UACGUAGGGUGCAAGCGUUGUCCGGAAUUAUUGGGCGUAAAGAGCUCGUAGGCGGUCUGUCGCGUCGGCUGUGAAAACUUGGGGCUCAACCCCAAGCCUGCAGUCGAUACGGGCAGACUAGAGUGUGGUAGGGGAGACUGGAAUUCCUGGUGUAGCGGUGAAAUGCGCAGAUAUCAGGAGGAACACCGAUGGCGAAGGCAGGUCUCUGGGCCACUACUGACGCUGAGAAGCGAAAGCAUGGGGAGCGAACAGG
rnacentral:rRNA from 1 species